ACUCCUCUGUUCUUCUUUCAGCUCUGCUUUUGCUGUCGAACAAGAAGGUUUUCCUUCUUUACCUGGUCUUACACUUGUCAGUUCUGUAAGAGGCCUGUAUGCUCACAGUGUUGCAAAAAAAUGCGACUGCCAUCAAAGCCAUAUUCCACCCUCCCCAUCUUCUCACUGGGACCAUCAACCUUGCAGAGAGGAGAGAGCUUCAUGAGGCCGGAGAAACCCUCCACCAGUCACCACCGGUCCCUGCGGAGCAUGC